rnacentral:rRNA from 1 species
AACGAACGCUGGCGGCGUGCCUAACACAUGCAAGUCGAGCGAGAAAGCCCGCAAGGGUGAGUAAAGCGGCGCACGGGUGCGUAACACGUGGGUAAUCGGCCCUAGAGUCUGGAAUAACUCGCCGAAAGGCGUGCUAAUGCCGGAUGAGACCACGGGAGCUUCGGCUCCUGCGGGAAAAGGUGGCCUCUGUAUACAAGCUAUCGCGCUAGGAUGAGCCCGCGGCCCAUCAGCUAGUUGGCGGGGUAAUGGCCCACCAAGGCAACGAAGGGUAGCUGGUCUGAGAGGACGAGCAGCCACACUGGAACUGGGACACGGUCCAGACUCCUACGGGAGGCAGCAGUGGGGAAUCUUGCGCAAUGGGCGAAAGCCUGACGCAGCAACGCCGCGUGUGUGAUGAAGGUCUUCGGAUCGUAAAGCACUGUCGCGAGGGACGAAUAAGGGUCGGGUGAACAAUCCGGUCCGAUGACGGUACCUCGAGAGGAAGCACCGGCUAACUCUGUGCCAGCCGCCGCAGUAAUAC